rnacentral:rRNA from 1 species
CAGAGCCAGUAUAGCACGUUGAAUGCACCAGUUCCUCUUGAAUCACUGAAGCUAAGCAAAGUUGCGCGUGGUUAGUGUCCGGAUGGGUGACCAUCUGGGCAAUCGUGUGCCCAGA